GACGUAGGAGGCGAGCGUUAUCCGGAUUUACUGGGCGUAAAGCGCACGCAGGCGGCUUCGUUAGUCGGAUGUGAAAGCUCCUGGCUUAACCGGGAGAGGCCAUUCGAUACUGCGAGGCUUGAGGUUGGAAGAGGGGUGUGGAAUUCCCGGUGUAGUGGUGGAAUGCGUAGAUAUCGGGAGGAACACCUGUGGCGAAAGCGGCACCCUGGUCCACACCUGACGCUGAGGUGCGAAAGCGUGGGUAGCAAAC
rnacentral:rRNA from 1 species